GAUGAAGAACGUAGCGAAAUGCGAUACGUAAUGUGAAUUGCAAAUUCAGUGAAUCAUCGAGUCUUUGAACGCACAUUGCGCCCCCUGGUAUUCCGGGGGGCAUGCCUGUCCGAGCGUCAUUGCUGCCCUCAAGCACGGCUUGUGUGUUGGGCCCCGUCCUCCGAUCCCGGGGGACGGGCCCGAAAGGCAGCGGCGGCCCCGCGUCCGGUCCUCGAGCGUAUGGGGCUUUGUCACCCGCUCUGUAGGCCCGGCCGGCGCUUGCCGAUCAACCCAAAUUUUUAUCCAGGUUGACCUCGGAUCAGGUAGGGAUACCCGCUGAACUUAAGCAUAUCAAUAAGCGGAGGA
rnacentral:misc_RNA from 1 species